rnacentral:rRNA from 1 species
UACGUAGGGGGCAAGCGUUGUUCGGAAUUACUGGGCGUAAAGCGCACGUAGGCGGACUAUUAAGUCAGGGGUGAAAUCCCGGGGCUCAACCCCGGAACUGCCUUUGAUACUGGUAGUCUCGAGUCCGGAAGAGGUGAGUGGAAUUCCGAGUGUAGAGGUGAAAUUCGUAGAUAUUCGGAGGAACACCAGUGGCGAAGGCGGCUCACUGGUCCGGUACUGACGCUGAGGUGCGAAAGCGUGGGGGAGCAAACAGG